UACGUAGGGGGCAAGCGUUGUCCGGAUUUAUUGGGCGUAAAGAGCUCGUAGGCGGUUUGGUAAGUCUGGUGUGAAAUCUCCACGCUCAACGUGGAGGGGCCACCCGAUACUGCCAUGACUGGAGUCCGGUAGAGGAGUGUGGAAUUCCCGGUGUAGCGGUGAAAUGCGCAGAUAUCGGGAGGAACACCCGUAGCGAAGGCGGCACUCUGGGCCGGUACUGACGCUGAGGAGCGAAAGCAUGGGGAGCGAACAGG
rnacentral:rRNA from 1 species